GUGGGGAAUAUUGGACAAUGGGCGAAAGCCUGAUCCAGCCAUGCCGCGUGUGUGAAGAAGGUCUUCGGAUUGAAAAGCACUUUAAGUUGGGAGGAAGGGUAGUAACCUAAUACGUUGCUACUUUGACGUUACCGACAGAAUAAGCACCGGCUAACUUCGUGCCAGCAGCCGCGGUAAUACGAAGGGUGCAAGCGUUAAUCGGAAUUACUGGGCGUAAAGUGCGCGUAGGUGGUUUUGUAAGUUGGAGGUGAAAUCCCCGGGCUCAACCUUGGAAAUGGCUCCAAAACUGCAUGACUAGAGUACGGUAGAGGGUAGUGGAAUUUCCUGUGUAGCGGUGAAAUGCGUAGAUAUAGGAAGGAACACCAGUGGCGAAGGCGACUACCUGGACUGAUACUGACACUGAGGUGCGAAAGCGUGGGGAGCAAACAGGAUUAGAUACCCCGGUAGUCC
rnacentral:rRNA from 1 species